GUAACCCACCAAAAUGCCUGGGAGCACUAAAUGAAAUUCCAGAGAGUGAUUGAAAGUGUUGAUCCAGAUGGUGGUCAGACAAUGUUUGGGAACUCUGCUGUCAGCCUAAUUCUGUGGAUACAGACACAGCGUAUUAACGAUCCGUCCCAUAUGCUUGUUAAGCCUGAUCCAUCCGGGAGAGCAGCAGAGAGUUUCACGAGACCAGAGUGCUACAAGUCUGUGACCAUGUGAUGAGAAGUAAUGUGGGGAAGAAGGCCAUGGAUGAAGUUGCAGGUUUAAAACAUCAAGAUGUUGGUCCUCAGCCAACAGGAAAAUCAGUCCUCAACUCUGCAUGCUGGUUGAACUCUGAAGAAGCCAAGGAAUACCGCUUUGAAUUUUCAGGUUGCUUUUGCGUGCCAAGAGCUCCUGCGAGAAGCUUCUCCAGAAGGAGAGCAGAUGCGACAUUCAUAUGUUUCCCUGAUGUUCAUUUC
rnacentral:lncRNA from 1 species